rnacentral:misc_RNA from 1 species
GUGAAUCAUCGAAUCUUUGAACGCAAAUUGCACUUUCUGGUAUUCCGGAAAGUAUGCCUGUUUGAGGGUCAGUUAAAUAAAAAUCGGUGUUAUUGCUAUUAAUGGUGAUGCAUCGGAAUUGAGUCGUCUUUACCUUUGGUUUUAAGUGACUUAAAAUUAUGUACGAUUCCUGAAGGUAUUUAAAUAAUUUAUUUAGUCUAUGAAUAUCAAAUAUUAG